GUGAGGAAUAUUGGUCAAUGGGCGGGAGCCUGAACCAGCCAAGUCGCGUGAAGGAAGAAGGAUCUAUGGUUCGUAAACUUCUUUUGCAGGGGAAUAAAGUGCAGGACGUGUCCUGUUUUGUAUUUACCCUGAGAAUAAGGAUCGGCUAACUCCGUGCCAGCAGCCGCGGUAAUACGGAGGAUCCGAGCGUUAUCCGGAUUUAUUGGGUUUAAGGGGUGCGGAGGUGGUUUGAUAAGUCAGCGGUGAAAGGUUGCAGCUUAACUGUAAAAAUGCCGUUGAAACUGUCGGACUUGAGUGUAAAUGAGGUAGGCGGAAUGCGUGGUGUAGCGGUGAAAUGCAUAGAUAUCACGCAGAACUCCGAUUGCGAAGGCAGCUUACUAAGCUACAACUGACACUGAAGCACGAAAGCGUGGGGAUCAAACAGGAUUAGAUACCCGGGUAGUCC
rnacentral:rRNA from 1 species